rnacentral:rRNA from 1 species
UACAUGUGGGGCAAGCGUUGUUCGGAAUUACUGGGCAUAAAGGGUGCGUAGGUGGUUUGUUAAGUCAGGGGUGAAAUCCCGCGGCCCAACCGUGGAACUGCCUUUGAUACUGGCGAACUUGAGUGCGUGAGGGGUAGGAGGAACGAGCAGUGUAGCGGUGAAAUGCGUAGAUAUUGCUCGGAAGGCCAGAGCCGAAGGGGCCCUACUGGUGCGUAACUGACACUGAGGCACGAAAGCGUGGGGAGCAAACAGG